AUUGAAUACAAAACGGCCAUAAAUCAAAAUUUAUUGAAAAUCAUUUUAUUUCAAAAUUAGGGACUAAAGCUACAGUAUUUUACGUUUUGCUGAAGACACCCGUCAUUUUCAAUCAUAUUAAUGCCAAACUGAUCAACCGCCUUUUUUGUAUUGGGUUGACUUACGCGCUAACUUCAGAACAAAACCGCCAUUUUGUGAGUUGCGACCCAAAACUCGGAGCGAACGCAUAUCAGUUCAAUACAAAACGGCCACAAUUCGGAAAAACACCCAAUAUUUAAUACAGUGUUCUGUGCAAAAGAGCCACUUUUUGAAAUACGUCUGUAUUGCAUUCCAAUUUCAAAACAAUGGCAAUUGGCCAUGCUCAAAAUACGCACCAUCUAGAACUGAACAGAAUCAAACCUUGUUCCACGACAACACGCAGGAAACUGAAAUAGCAGCACAGGAUGGACAACAAAGAGAAAUGGCAAAUUUUAGUUUUGAUACGGACUCCUACGCUGACAGCCAGCCUGAUUACAAUAUAUCGUGGUUAAGUGAUGAUGAAGAGAGUUUAAGAACUU